rnacentral:rRNA from 1 species
UGGGGGAUAUUGCGCAAUGGGGGAAACCCUGACGCAGCAACGCCGCGUGGAGGAAGAAGGUUUUCGGAUUGUAAACUCCUGUCAUUGGGGAAGAGAAAAAGGACGGUACCCGAUGAGGAAGCCACGGCUAACUACGUGCCAGCAGCCGCGGUAAUACGUAGGUGGCGAGCGUUGUCCGGAAUUAUUGGGCGUAAAGAGCACGUAGGCGGUUAUGUAAGUCAGAUGUGAAAACCCGAAGCUUAACUUCGGAGGUGCAUUUGAAACUGUGUGACUUGAGUGCAGGAGAGGAAAGCGGAAUUCCUAGUGUAGCGGUGAAAUGCGUAGAUAUUAGGAAGAACACCAGUGGCGAAGGCGGCUUUCUGGACUGUAACUGACGCUGAGGUGCGAAAGCGUGGGGAGCAAACAGG